UACGUAGGGGGCAAGCGUUGUCCGGAAUCAUUGGGCGUAAAGAGCGUGUAGGCGGUUCGGUAAGUCGGCUGUGAAAGUCCAGGGCUCAACCCUGGAAUGCCGGUGGAUACGGCCGGGCUAGAGUCCGGAAGAGGCGAGUGGAAUUCCUGGUGUAGCGGUGAAAUGCGCAGAUAUCAGGAGGAACACCGAUGGCGAAGGCAGCUCGCUGGGACGGUACUGACGCUGAGACGCGAAAGCGUGGGGAGCAAACAGG
rnacentral:rRNA from 1 species